AGCUGGUGGGCAGAUCUCUGUCUGUUGUAGGAUCCAGAGUUACUCCCCACGACACGCUGUCCCAUGGGACAGAGGAGUGGUUCUCAAAACACCAGGUGGAAGCCCAGCCAGAGGAGCUGUCCCUGGGGGAACGGGCUCAGCACUCCAGCCAGCCGCCCCUAGCCCAGCUGAGCCACAGGCCAAGAGGAGGCCCCUCGCUCUGGCCAAACAGGGGCCCUGCAGCUUCACAGCAUCAGGAGACAGCAGCCCUGGCCACAUCCUUCCUUUCAGCCUGGUCCCAGGUGAACAGCUUCCCACUCUGCAGCAUCCCCGUGCAUCCCACGCCCUUGUUACAGGCACGCUUCUCUCAAGUGGUCAGGUCUGUGGGUUUUUGAGGCAGACUUUCACCCCCUGGGAAGUCUUACCUGCUCUCAGAUGCCACCUGAAUAUCAGGUUUGUGCUGGAGGAUUCUGCGGUCCCAGUGGUAAGCUUGGGCAACCGCUUCAAACCAGCUGUAUGUUAAAAUCUCCUAGGAUCAGGGUAAAAUUAGAGAAUUUUCCCCCAGACCUGGCCUGACAUCCUAAUCUCCUUUGUUUCAGUAACAGCUCUGUUGAGAUAUAAUUCACAUACCAUGCAAUUUACCCAUUUAAAGUAUACAGUGUUUAGUAUAUUUACACAAUCACAUUUUAGAACAUUUUAAUCACCUCCCCAAAAUACCCCCCACCCAUUAGCAGUCACUCUCCAUUUCCUCUCCCUUAGCCCCUGGCAGCCCCCAGUCUCUCUGUGCAUUUGCCUCUUCUGGAUGUUGUUUGCUUGGGUGUUAAUUGUGCUUCCAGGUAACUCUCGUGCUAGACUUGGGUACCACUGGCCUAGAGGCAUCCUGAAGUCCCCAGGUCACCCCAUUCAGGUCUUGGGGCUGGCUUGAGCUGAGGCAGGGCGGGCUAACUUGUGAACCCGAAUAGUGUCAGCUCCAGUGGGUGAGAUCUCAGCAGACGCAGCUGCUCCCCGCAGCAUGUCUGUUCAUGGUCCCUGGCCCUGCGGCACUGGCACGGAGCUUAGUGGUGACAGUGUCCUGAAAAGCAGGGUCCAGCCGUGCCUGAGCUGAGCUUCGG
rnacentral:lncRNA from 1 species